GGUAGUGGAAGUAAAAGUCUGAACCUCUCUAAUGUAUACGCCAAGCUAACGGCAUGUUCAUGCAAAUAUUGUGAAAGAUUUUGCUUUAGUUGUACCAAAUCCUUCUCCUAUAAUGAUCCAAAUAUACACACAUUGAAGUAAUAGAUAAUGCGUUCGAUCUGUGUGGGGACUUAAAAACACGAGCGGAGUCACUGUCAAAAACUUUGACCCAGUUGUGCCAAACAACCACUCUGAAAAUUGUUAGUCUAAUUGCAAAAAGCAAAGAAAUUUAAAUCAAGUUCGCGUUCAUUGCAUGGAUGCAUGCAUCUUAUCGCAUCAAUAAUGCAUUUCAUCGUGUCCAACAUCCUGAAAUGUUUUAAUGAUAUCAAAAAUUACAGUUUUGUGAUAA
rnacentral:lncRNA from 1 species